GCUGGGCAGGGUAGUAGUGCCUGUAGUUCCAGCUAGCACAAAAGGAGGAUUGCUGAAGCCCAGGAGUUCUGGCUUUAGUGUACUAUGCUGAUUAUGUCCACACUAAGUUUUGCAUCAGUACUGAGACCUUCCAUGAGCAGGGAGCUACCAGUUACCUAAAGAGAGGUGAAGCAGCCCAGGUAGGGAACAGAGCCCAUCAAAACUCCUGUCCUGAUCAGUAGCAGGAUCACACCUAUGAGUCGCCACUACACUCCAGCAUGGGCAAUAUAGACAGACUCUUGU
rnacentral:SRP_RNA from 1 species